GACGAACGCUGGCGGCGUGCUUAACACAUGCAAGUCGAACGGAAAGGCCCUGCCUGCAGGGUACUCGAGUGGCGAACGGGUGAGUAACACGUGGGUGAUCUGCCCUGCACUUCGGGAUAAGCCUGGGAAACUGGGUCUAAUACCGGAUAUGACCUUCCAUGUAGUGUGGGGGGUGGAAAGAUUUAUCGGUGUGGGAUGAGCCCGCGGCCUAUCAGCUUGUUGGUGGGGUAAUGGCCUACCAAGGCGUCGACGGGUAGCCGGCCUGAGAGGGUGGACGGCCACAUUGGGACUGAGAUACGGCCCAGACUCCUACGGGAGGCAGCAGUGGGGAAUAUUGCACAAUGGGCGGAAGCCUUAUGCAGCGACGCCGCGUGGGGGAUGACGGCCUUCGGGUUGUAAACCUCUUUCGACAGGGACGAAGCUUCGGUGACGGUACCUGUAUAAGAAGCACCGGCUAACUACGUG
rnacentral:rRNA from 1 species